UGUUUGAUGGCUGAGAUUAAAGCAGUAGACUGUAGAUCUACCAACGAAGUUAAAUCUUCUCAACAA
rnacentral:tRNA from 1 species